rnacentral:rRNA from 1 species
GACGAGCCACCCGAACGUUAUUCGGAAUUACUGGGCUUAAGGGGUGCGUAGGCGGUGCAGCAAGUCGGGAGUGAAAUACCUCAGCUUAACUGAGGAACUGCUUUCGAUACUGCUGUGCUUGAGUGAGACAGAGGUAAGCGGAACUUAGGGUGGAGCGGUGAAAUGCGUUGAUAUCCUAAGGAACACCUGCGGCGAAGGCGGGUUGCUGGGCUGAUACUGACGCUGAGGCGCGAAAGCCAGGGGAGCGAACGGG